CUGCCAGCAGAGAGGAGAACUUACAAGAACCUCCAGGUCCAGUUUCUCCAGAACCAAUCAGAACCAAAUCUACCGGGAGAGAAGGAGAGAGUGGGCGUGUCUCUGUGCUCCCUGGGCCCUGAUUGGACAGAAACCAGGAAGUCCUCCAGUAGUGGAAGACUGAAGAAAGAGCUGCAACGGGAGUCCAGAAAACUAAACUGGGAAAACUGGAGGAUGGAUCAGAAUGGUAACUGGGUUGGAUGAAGUCCAGCUUCCUGUGACCCGGUUGGACUCUGACUGAUGGUUCUGAUGGACAGGCCGGCUGAGACACGCAGGUCCAAACAGGACCAGUUUUUAUUUUCUUGGCCAAAAGGUUUCCAGAUGUUACAAACGAGAGAAAAGCUCGUCUCACAACCCAACGUCCGUCGUUCUUCAGAGGAAAACGCUUCAUCAGCUGGAGGGAACCUGAAGCAGCCCAACAUCAGAGCAGCAAGCAGGCUAAAGGUUAAAGCAUGAUACGACCUCUCCCAUGUUCUACUGCAGCUGCUUGCUGUUUUCUUCAUCACAUCAGACAGUUGGAUGUGAUGAGCCGAGCUUCUCUUCUGCUCCUCAUCCUCGACGUUUCUGUUUCCUCCCACGUUUCCCUGAGCCAGAGCUCUGCAGACGAAGGUGUGGUGAUUUUCCUUCAGUUCUAUUUGGUUUCCUCUGCAGUAAUAAAAGGGUUGGUGAUGAUGAACACCUAGGAAUCCCGGCUAAAGCCUUUCCUUUCCAGCGCCGCUCCGAUCGAAGGUCACCACCAGAGCUUCACAGCUCAGUGGCCGUGUCCGGCCGGGUCACACUUUCCACGACGCUCCUGCCCUCUGCCUGGAGUCCAGUCCUCCGCCUCGUCCCGGACCGAUAACCGGACUCCGUAAACGCCUUACUCAGGCUGCGACUCAAACCAUGAGAAUGUGUCGAAAGCAAGAAGGAAAAAACAAUAAAUUCAGCCA